CUCAAAGUACAGAAAGUAUUUCUACUUCAGUUUUUUUUUAACACACGUGUAAGUCUGUACCACAACUUAAGUACAGUCGAUGAGUACUUUUGCCACCUCCGCUCACAAAAGUAUAUUUCCAAACUGCACCUUUUUACUUUUACUUACCGUAAUUAAAGAAGUGUUUGUUUUUUUUUAACCGAAGAAUGUGUGCUUCUACUUAGGUAAAGAAAGUAACUGCUAUUGCCAUCUCUGCUUGAUGUCAUUUGUGGACUUUGUUACGGAAAUACAUUUCAGAGUCUGUGCUUUUUUUUUUUUUUUUUUACACUUAUGUAAAGGAGACAAAUCAGUACAUCUCCUUUUACCAGAGUCUUUUUUUAACACAGGUAUCUAUCUGUGUGAGUACUUGUGCCACCUCUGCUCGCAGUGGGGAAACAACAUGUGCUUUGAGUGAGCUUCUUUCACAACAUUGUGAAAUACCUGAGUUGUGUGGUUGGUAUCUUCCAUGACCAAGGAGUGUGUGCAGUGAUAUCAAGAGGAAAAGUCAUGCUCUGCCCGCUUGGUCCAUUCCGCACCUUGGCUCCUCAUCCACCCAGAUGAGAUGUUACAUAAGAGCCGACAUUGGAUGCAAGCAAUGGAGGCCGACACCCCUGACAAGCCGACUUGGGAAAGAAUCAUUCAUCCGUCCAUUGUCUGAGCCGCUGAUCCUCACGAGGGUUGCGGGUGUGCUGGAGCCGAUCCUAGCCAUCUGCGGGCACUGAGCGGGGGGACAACCUAACUGGUUUCCAGCCAAUCGCAAGAGACGCGUAGACCAACAACC